UAUCCCCCUGUGUGCCUUGAAUACUGCUAGUCUUGAGUUCGAGAGAGGUGAGUGGAAUUCCGAGUGUAGAGGUGAAAUUCGUAGAUAUUCGGAGGAACACCAGUGGCGAAGGCGGCUCACUGGCUCGAUACUGACGCUGAGGUGCGAAAGUGUGGGGAGCAAACAGGAUUAGAUACCCUGGUAGUCCACACCGUAAACGAUGAAUGCCAGUAAUUCCGAACAACGCUAACCCCCUCCGUAU
rnacentral:rRNA from 1 species